rnacentral:rRNA from 1 species
AUUGAACGCUGGCGGCAUGCUUUACACAUGCAAGUCGAACGGCAGCGGGGAGGAGCUUGCUUCUCUGCCGGCGAGUGGCGAACGGGUGAGUAAUACAUCGGAACGUGUCGAGAGGAGGGGGAUAACCACCCGAAAGGGUGGCUAAUACCGCAUAAAUUCUGAGGAAGAAAGCUGGGGACCUAGGAAUAGGCCUAGCGCUUUUUGAGCGGCCGAUGUCGGAUUAGCUAGUUGGUGAGGUAAAGGCUCACCAAGGCGAAGAUCUGUAGCGGGUCUGAGAGGAUGAUCCGCCACACUGGGACUGAGACACGGCCCAGACUCCUACGGGAGGCAGCAGUGGGGAAUUUUGGACAAUGGGGGCAACCCUGAUCCAGCCAUGCCGCGUGUAUGAAGAAGGCCUUAGGGUUGUAAAGUACUUUUGUUAGGGAAGAAAAGUCAGCUGUGAAUAAUGGCUGAUACUGACGGUACCUAAAGAAUAAGCACCGGCUAACUACGU